AUGGACGGCCAUAGUAGUCUGGUCCUACCUAGUAACAUUCCGAACCUAGAAGUCAAGCAGGCUAACGUCUUUUGUUGUACUGUGCUUCUGCACGGGAAGCUUGGAUGCUGUUCAUU
rnacentral:rRNA from 1 species